CCUGGUAGUCCACGCGUAAACGAUGAGUGCUAAGUGUUGGAGGGUUCCGCCUUUCAGUGCUGCAGUUAACGCAUUAAGCACUCCGCUGGGGAGUACGGCCGCAAGGCUGAAACUCAAAGGAAUUGACGGGGGCCCGCACAAGCGGUGGAGCAUGUGGUUUAAUUCGAAGCAACGCGAAGAACCUUACCAGGUCUUGACAUCCUUUGACCACUCUAGAGAUAGAGCUUUCCCUUCGGGGACAAAGUGACAGGUGGUGCAUGGUUGUCGUCAGCUCGUGUCGUGAGAUGUUGGGUUAAGUCCCGCAACGAGCGCAACCCUUAUUGUUAGUUGCCAUCAUUCAGUUGGGCACUCUAGCGAGACUGCCGGUGACAAACCGGAGGAAGGUGGGGAUGACGUCAAAUCAUCAUGCCCCUUAUGACCUGGGCUACACACGUGCUACAAUGGACGGUACAAUGAGUCGCGAGACCGCGAGGUUUAGCUAAUCUCUUAAAGCCGUUCUCAGUUCGGAUUGUAGGCUGCAACUCGCCUACAUGAAGCCGGAAUCGCUAGUAAUCGUGGAUCAGCACGCCACGGUGAAUACGUUCCCGGGCCUUGUACACACCGCCCGUCACACCACGAGAGUUUGUAACACCCAAAGUCGGUGAGGUAACCUUUUGGAGCCAGCCGCCUAAGGUGGGAUAGAUGAUUGGGGUGAAGUCGUAACAAGGUAACCA
rnacentral:rRNA from 1 species